rnacentral:tmRNA from 1 species
GGGGCUGAACGGUUUCGACUGCGUGCGUUAAUUCAGGGGAAGCGUGUCGGUGCAGGCAAGAGACCACCGUAAGCGUCGCUGCAACCUUAUAAGCGCCGAUUCCAAUCAGCGCGACUACGCUCUCGCUGCCUAAGUAGCGAAGCGUGUCUGUCAGCCCGGGUUCGCCCUCGACCCGGUCCCUGGCAUCAGCUAGAGGGCUUACCGUCCGCCUCGGUCGCGGAGACAGGACGGGACAUCGAACAGCGACUGGGAUCGUCAUCUCGGCUUGUUCGCGUGACUGAGAGAUCCGAGUAGAGACACAGCGAACUGCACACGGAGAAGCCCUGGAAAAGCGGCGGAGGACCCGGGUUCGAUUCCCGGCAGCUCCACUG